CAGUCGCCACGGUAAUACGUAUGUCACGAGCGUUAUCCGGAUUUAUUGGGCGUAAAGUGAGUGUAGGCGGUCUUUUAAGUCUGAUGUGAAAGCCCACGGCUCAACCGUGGAGGGUCAUUGGAAACUGGGAGACUUGAGUGCAGAAGAGGAGAGCGGAAUUCCAUGUGUAGCGGUGAAAUGCGUAGAUAUAUGGAGGAACACCAGUGGCGAAGGCGGCUCUCUGGUCUGUAACUGACGCUGAGGCUCGAAAGCGUGGGGAGCAAACAGGAUUAGAUACCCCAGUAGUCCCUGUCUCUUAUAC
rnacentral:rRNA from 1 species